rnacentral:rRNA from 1 species
GACAGAGGCCUCAAGCGUUAGGCGGAAUCACUGGGCUUAAAGCGUGUGUAGGCGGGUCGUUAAGUACCUUGUGAAAUCCCACGGCUCACCCGUGGAACGGCUGGGUAUACUGGCGAUCUUGGGCCAACUAGGGGCGACUGGAACAAGCGGUGGAGCGGUGAAAUGCGUAGAUAUCGCUUGGAACGCCGAAGGUGAAAACAGGUCGCUGGGGUUGUGCCGACGCUGAGACACGAAAGCCUGGGGAGCAAACGGG